GAUGAGUUAUCUGAUUGGGCAUUGCACAGGGCCAGGCUCAACCAUUAAGUCUAAUAGAAAACCCAAGACCAGGAGACGGCCCCAUCAACCCAUUAUUCUCAGAGAGAGAGAGAGGAGAGAGAGACGACGGCGACGGCGACGACGACGACGACGAUGGUGGGAGAUUGCGCAGGGCGUUCGAGAGCGAAACCCUAUUCCUCUUUCCCGAUUUCUUGUUCUUGAGUUCUUGAUGGAUGGGAUCGAUCGGUUCUACGGUAUAUUGCGGAAUCCAUGGAAGCCCGUGAUGGGGAGAGGGCCGGGAGCCGUCUUCGUCAACCUGGUCGUGAAACCGGACAAGAAGCUCAAGGAGGACGUCGCGAAACCCUAACCUUCUUUCCCGAUUUGUUGUUCUUGAGUUCUUGAUGGGUGGGUUCCAUCGGUUCUACGGUACAUUGCAGAAUCCAUGGAAGCACGUGCUGGGGACGCGGCCGGGGCUCGUCUUCGUCAACCAGUUCGUAAAACCGGACGAGACGCUCGACAAGGCCAUGGCCACCGACUUCGAUUCCACCGGAGCGUUCUUGAUGGCAGUUUCAGGCGUAAAUCGGUGGGUGGCUGAGCACGGCGCAAAGUUGCUUUGGAGAUCUUAUCGAUCGAUUCUUGGAAUUGCUGAUGAAGAACGCUCGAGUUAAUCGAGAAUGUUUAGACUGCAGUUUUCUUUCCAGAGCCCGCCCUGUGAAUCUUCAGCGAAAUGCGGAGCAGCCGAUCCGAGACGUGCCGCGAGCUGGGCCGCUCGGCGGGAGUCGUCCUGGUGCAUUGCAAGGCCACAUCCAGCACAUCGUACAUGGACGACUCCCCGUGCGAUGCCAGCAGCCUCAGAGCAGGAUCCAGCAACUCCUCCCGCUCCGCCACCGACGACGAAGACGCCGACGCAACUCGAGACUGCACCCACCUCACCAUAUCCAUGUCUCCUCCGAAGGGAGUACGCAUAUUCUGCACAUAUAGCAGCAAUGGAAGUUUAGUCGAUGCAACAGUGACCGUGGUGGCCAGGUAUUCGACAAAAUACCUGGUGCCAUGUAGCCAUAUGAUCCGGCGAAGCAGGAGCCAGUCUCGGUG